rnacentral:rRNA from 1 species
UACAGAGGGUGCGAGCGUUGUCCGGAAUCACUGGGCGUAAAGGGCGCGUAGGUGGCGCGACAAGUCAGUGGUGAAAGUUCGACGCUCAACGUCGAAUCGGCCACUGAUACUGUUGGGCUUGAGCACUGUAGAGGCUAAUGGAAUUCCUGGUGUAGCGGUGAAAUGCGCAGAUAUCAGGAAGAACACCGGUGGCGAAGGCGGCGACCUGGUCCUUGACUGACGCUGAGGCGCGAAAGCGUGGGGAGCAAACAGG